rnacentral:lncRNA from 1 species
GUGUGUGAUAUAUAUAUAUUAUAUAUAUAUAUACACACAUACAUAUAUACUGAUGUGAUCUAUUACUCCUAUAGACUUUACUAUAUAUAAAAAGAUAGAUGCCAAGAUCUAAAAAUUAAGGAAAGAAUGGAACCAGCACCAAACCACAUUGUGGGACUACAUCUCUCAGAAUCCCCCAGUCAAGAUGUAUUGUCCAGGAAUUCUAGGAGUAAGACUUUACACCAAAACUUGGUGUGAAGUGUUAGAUGAACGAGAGAUAUAGAUCUUGUAGGCGUUUUUAUGUGAACUCUUACUCCUAGAGCCUGAAAUCACAUUAUAUGCAAUGGAGUGGUGAAAUUGUGACCUUUAGAUAAAAUGGCAAAUGCAAACUUUGCUCUUUGGGAUUUUUGUUUGAUGAAUAUUUUCAAGUCUUGGGUGGUUUUUUUUAAUCCUUUCCGUUCACCCUUCCUUUUUCUCUCAAUCUUUUAUUCUUUCCUUCUCCCUUUGCUUCCUUUUUCCCUUUCGUUCUUUCCCUCUUUCUCUUUUCCUCCCUUCUUCCCUUCCUUCCUGCCAUUUCUCUUUCUCAAUCUUUCUCUUUUCUCCUUUCGCUUCUUCCUUCUCUCUCUUUCUCUACCGCUCAAUUUUCCCUUCUGUUCCUUCCUUCUCCCUUUCUCUUCCUUCUUUUUCUUCCUCUCUCUCAAUUUUCUCCCUUCCUUCCUUCCUUCUGUUUCUCUUUCUCCUUCGUUGCUUCCUUCUCUUUCUAUCUUUCUGUCUCUCAAUUUUCUCUUCUGUUCCUUCCUUCUUCCCUUCUCUUCCUUGUUUCCUUCUCUCUCUUUCUCUACUUCUCAUAUUUCCCCUUUACGUUCCUUCCUUCUUUUCCCUUCCUUCCUUCCUUUCCUUCUUUCUCGAUCUCUCAAUUUUCCUCCUUCCUUCCUUCCUUCCUUCCUUCCUUCCUUCCUUCCUUCCUUCCUUCCUUCCUCUAUUUCUCAAUUUUUCCCUUUGGUUCCUUCCUUCCUCUUUCUUUCUUUCUUUCUUUCUUUCUUUCUUUCUUUCUUUCUUUCUUUCUUUCUUUCUCUCUCUCUCAAUUUUUCCCUUUGGUUCCUUCCUUUUCCCUUUUUCUUUCUUUCUUUCUUUCUUUCUUUCUUUCUUUCUUUCUUUCUUUCUUUCUUUCUCUAUCUCUCAAUUUUCCCUUUUGUUCCUUCCUUCUGCCCUUUUCUCUCUUCCUUCCUUCUCUCUCUCUCACUCACUCUUUCCCCCCUUUUUUGCCCUUCCUUCUGUUUCUCUUUCUUCCUUCCUUUCUUUCUUUCUCUGUCUCUCAAUUUUCCUCUUUCUUUCUUCUUUCUUCUUUCNNNNNNNNNNNNNNNNNNNNNNNNNNNNNNNNNNNNNNNNNNNNNNNNNNNNNNNNNN